rnacentral:lncRNA from 1 species
UUGGAUAUUUUGGGAAUGAUUUCCCAAAGAAAUAAAAUAAUAGAGUUCAAGAGGGAAAGGAAGCCGGCGGGAGAAACAAGGAAGAAUCCAGUCGUGAUGAAGGCCUUUUACAUCGCUGCUGCUGUCGCCCACGACUCCAUGGAAGGCUGAUCUCCUCACUAGGGCUGGAUGCAGCCCUAACAAAGGGCUAAGGGUUUUAUAUUUU